GUUCCUGUAGUUAAAUUUCAAUAACGAUGGCUUUUCAGGCCGUAGAUCUUGGAUAGUAGCCAAGUAGGAAUU
rnacentral:tRNA from 1 species